rnacentral:rRNA from 1 species
CCUACGGGAGGCAGCAGUAAGGAAUAUUGCGCAAUGGGCGAAAGCCUGACGCAGCGACGCCGCGUGGGGGAUGAAGGUCUUCGGAUUGUAAACCCCUUUCGGGAGGGAAGAUGGAAUGGGGUAACCCAUUCGGACGGUACCUCCAGAAGCAGCCACGGCUAACUUCGUGCCAGCAGCCGCGGUAAUACGAAGGUGGCAAGCGUUAUUCGGAUUUACUGGGCGUACAGGGAGCGUAGGCGGUUCGGUAAGCCCUUUGUGAAAUCUCCAGGCUUAACCUGGAACAGUCGGAGGGGACUGCCGGGCUAGAGGACGGGAGAGGAGCGCGGAAUUCCCGGUGUAGCGGUGAAAUGCGUAGAGAUCGGGAGGAAGGCCGGUGGCGAAGGCGGCGCUCUGGAACGUUUCUGACGCUGAGGCUCGAAAGCGUGGGGAGCAAACAGGAUUAGAUACCCUGGUAGUCCACGCCUUAAACUAUGAAUACUAAGUGUCGGCGGGUUACCGCCGGUGCUGCAGCUAACGCAUUAAGUAUUCCGCCUGGGAAGUACGGCCGCAAGGUUGAAACUUAAAGGAUUGACGG